GACAAACGCUGGCGGCGUGCAUAACACAUGCAAGUCGAACGAUGAAGAUUAAAAGAUUUCUUCGGAAUGAACUGAAUUGGAUUAGUUGCGGACGGGUUAGUAACGCGUGGGUAACCUGCCUUGUACAAGGGGAUAGCCGUUGGAAACGACGAAUAAUACUCUAUGAUAUCAAAUAAUCGCAUGUUAAUUUGGUCAACGAUUUAUCGGCAGUUGAUGGACUCGCGUCUGAUUAGCUAGUUGGUAGAGGAAAAGCCGACCAAGGCCACGAUCAGUAGCCGGCUGGAGAGAGUGUACGACCACAUUGGGACUGAGACCCGGCCCCCACUCGUGCGAGCAGUGGGAAUGGGUGAUCUUGCACAGUGGGCCAAACGCAGCUGCGGCGCCGGCGGGUAGUUUAGAAUGCCUUCGGAUUGUGAAAAUGUUUUGUAUGAGAAGAAAAUGACAGUACCGUACGAAUAAGGACCGGCUAAUUACGUG
rnacentral:rRNA from 1 species